GGAACGGAUGUCACUCAGUGGUAGGGUGCAUGCUUUGCAUGCAAGAGAUUCCAGGAUUCAAUCCCUGAGUUUUCCU